rnacentral:lncRNA from 1 species
CGUAAUAUAAUCGCAGUAAAAGCGUGGUAAGAUCGUGCUGCAAUCGGAUAACUCGUGGUAUGGUCGUAGUGAGAACGUGAUGAGCGUAGAAAGAUCUUGAUAAGCGUAGUGAGGUCGCAGAAUAAGCGCGGUGAGAACGUGGUAUAAUCGUAGCGGGAUCGUUAUAGAAGCGUAAUGAGGACGUAGUUGCAUCGUGAAAGCAACGAAAAUUUACAUUUUCAUGCCGCUCAUACCGCGACCUCACCACGAUCUGAAUUUAUUUU